ACGUUGUGACAGUGUGGCAGUUUCCUUUCCUGGGGCUCCCUGAAGCUCUUGUCCCUGAAAACAGAGCCUUCCCUUCUCUACCCUUCCAAGAGCAUCGGUGUGGGAGGACAUGACUGGGCAAGAACUCACACCUGCCACUCUGCUCCUCUAAAUGCCACAUCAGCGUGGGGGUACAGGAUCAAGCAACAGCUGAGGAUGGUUAUGUCAAAGCCCAACAACUAAAAGGAUGUACAGAGACUGUCAGAAGGUCGGGGGCAACAGUGGUCCGGAGGCUCAGUCCGCAGAUCCUCAGCAUCGAAUGUCAGGGGCUUAGUGUCCUUUUUGCCAGGGGAGGAAGUCCAACCGGAGUUAGAACUCACAGCUUGCUCCCUCCACCUACAAAAUGCGUGUAACCUUGAGUAAGUCACUAACCUCACUUUGCAUUUUUGCUUUGAAAAGUAGGGAGCCCAGCUGUGCCUACCGCAGUGGUGGGUUGUGAGGAUUAAAUAAGACGCCAGGCAUUGGGACUGCUCCUAACAGGUGUGUCACUCACCCAGUGCCUUUUUCUCCUGGAAGACACAGUAGGCUCAAGGCCACUUCUCAGGGUGGCAGCGCAACCCU